rfam:Botryotinia fuckeliana BcDW1 unplaced genomic scaffold Scaffold_271, whole genome shotgun sequence.
GCCUGCUUGGCGCAGUGGUAACGCGUAGCACUUGUAUUCAUACGAAAUGCUAAGAUCAUUGGUUCGAUUCCAGUAGUAGGCA